rnacentral:rRNA from 1 species
GAUGAACGCUAGCGGCAGGCCUAAUACAUGCAAGUCGAGGGGCAGCAUAGUAGCAAUACUGAUGGCGACCGGCGCACGGGUGCGUAACGCGUAUGCAACCUACCUUUUACNGGGGGAUAGCCCGGAGAAAUUCGGAUUAACACCGCAUAAUAAGUUGAAGUGGCAUCACUUUAAUUUAAUAUUUAUAGGUAAGAGAUGGGCAUGCGUCCAAUUAGCUAGUUGGGUAGGUAACGGCUCACCAAGGCGAUGAUUGGUAGGGUUCGUGAGAGGGAACGGUCCCCACACUGGUACUGAGAUACGGACCAGACUCCUACGGGAGGCAGCAGGUAGGGAAUAUUGGGCAAUGGGCGAGAGCCUGACCCAGCCAUGCCGCGUG